AAGAGAUCGCGCGAUUAAACAAGCAUCAUACGCUACGGAAUCGAACAGAUCGCAACCGAAGAUUUGGAUCGGAUCCUUCAACGGCGGAGGGAUCCGAAGAGGAGCGCCACGGCGGGGCAGAGGAGAGCGCCGACGAGCGGCGACGAGAGAGCCACCGCGCCGGAAGUGGGGCUCGGCGCCGGGGCAUCUCCGGCGGCGGCGGCGAACCCGGCGAGGGAAGCGACGAUCCCAACCGCCACGAGGAGGAGGGAGAAAACCCUAGACUCUACGCGAACCAUUCUCUCUCUCUCUCCUUCUCUCUCUCUCUCUCAGUUGCGAAAUUUUGGUAGGGCUCGGAAUUAGGGUUAGGGAUUUGAAGGGCCUGUUAAGGGAAAGGGAAGGGAAAAGAAGUGGGAAGGAGGAGAGAGGAAGUGAACAUCAAGGAAAGGAAAGGAAAGGAAAGGGCUAAGAUUAGAACUUCGGGCAGAGUGUGUUGUGUACUGGUGUAGUGUUGUGUCGGACGGGGCAGCUGCCCGUAAGUAACAACGGUCUGGCGAUUUCUUUCUUAAUUUGUGGGUCCCGCUCCCGCAUUAGUAAGUGGAUCUUUUCCUUUUCUCAUAUGUAUAUAAUAAUAUAUACAUUCUACAUUCAUCAAUAUUUAACGAAGAAGAAGAUACUGUAUUAAUUCUGCCCUCUUUCUUCUAUUAGAUCCCGUCAAUUAUGAUUCAGCAUGAAAUGUCUUGCCAUUUUAUUAUUACUAUUAUUAUUAUUAUUAUUAUUAUUAUUAUUAUUGGAAUGAAUAGACACUAGCACACAGCAUAUAUAUGAACUCGAUCCUUCCGCAUGCGCCAAAGGGAAAUAAUGUGGCAUCCUGGCCGCUAUCCUAGUCGUGUUCAAGCCAAUUAAAUGCAUAUUUUUUAUAUUUGAUAGUGCAAAAAUUCAACCAACCGACCACUAGUCCUCACGUAAAUGAUAAAAAAUCUGGUGAUUGGUAUUUAAAACUUUAAGUUCAAAAUUUAAUUCUUUCACAUUAAACAUGAUAGCAUACGAGAUGGUCUUAGCAUUCGGAUGCACGUGUUAGAUUGAAUCUGAGUCGAUCUAUUUAUUUUUUUAUUAACUGAAAGAAAGACGUGAUAAGACUUAGGUAGUAAUUAGCAAAAAAAGCAAAGGACACAAAUAUAGUAGAUCCAGAGAGAGAGAGAGAGACAGAGACAGAGAGAUAUGAGAUGCUCUCACUCGUUGCUAAUUUUGAGCGAGAGAAUGUCUGAUCCAAAUAUAUAUAAAUAUCGUUCACAAAAAAGAAAUUAAGGAAAAAAAAAAGAAAAAGAAAGAGGGGGAAGGUGCGCAAUGAAUAGCAUCCAAACGAGGACCGGCAGGUAGCGAUUUUGAUUUGAAAAUGUGGAAAGCGAAGCGAGGGUCCAUCAGAUAGAUAUUCAGGCAUUCAGGCUUUCAGCACACACCACAUGCUGCGCUUUCGCAUGUUCGCCAGCUGAUGCUGAAUAAUGCUAAUGCUGUGCUAUUCAUGUGGGUGCAUGGUCGCCCUCUUUAGUCUUUAAUUUUUUCCCUCCUCAUCUCCUCAGGUGCUCACAAGGAAACUUUUAACUCCACUGCUGUUGUUAGAACCUCAAAACAACAAAGGAAUGAAGAGACAAGGUGAUAAAGAUUAAGAGGGUCAUAGCUGCUUCCAUCCUGUAACGCUUAGUUCAUUUUGCUUAAUGAAUGAAACAAAUAUAGCGUGCUAUCUUUUUCUUAAAAGCAAAAAAAAAAACAAACAAAGGAAUGAGGGAGGCUCUGAAGUUGAAGUAAGCUUUUAAGUUUUAGAGUUCGUUUGACUCUGACUCUGACUCUGUCAAAUGUGCAGUUACGACUGUUUAAAUGUAUAAUAUACUGCAUAUAUGUAUAAACCCAACAUCUGUUUUAUCCCCUUUUUUUUUCUUUUUUUUUCUCUUUCUUUUUUUUUUUCUCUCUCUGGAAGAAUAGCCACAGCAGAAUCAAAUAGAUUCUUGUUAAAAACUAGAGAGCGCUAUAAGUUAAAACCUCACACUUCUUUACUAACAGCAAAAUGAUAUUGUAAAGGAAAAAAAAAAAAAAGAAGACUAAUUUCGUAUAAUUUUCUAUAAAAGUAAAUAUAUUUUUAUAAAAUUUAAUUUUUCAUAUUUAUUUCUAUAAAAAUUUAGUAAUAUUUAUAUCUAUCUCUCUAAUUUAUUACUGUUAGAGUACUGUUUAUUUUUUAAUAAAAAAUAAAUAAAAUAAUAUUUUUAUUAUCACAAAUAUAUUCGUUUAAAAAUUCUAACUGUUAGAAUUAUACAUAAAUAUCCUCAUAAAAAUCUCUAACGAUUCUUUUCUUCUUCUCUACCAUCACAAAUAAUAUAAGAGGAGUAAAAAAGUCAAUUUACCUGAUUCACUAAUCAGGAUUAAAUAUUUUAUCUAUAAUUAACUAACAAGUUCUAACAGAAGAGGUAUAUUUAAAAAUAUUAAAAUUUUUGUAAGAAUUAAUAUAAAAAAUUUGAACUUUAUAAAAAUAUAUCUAUUAUUUGAUAUAUUUAUAGAAAGCUAUAUGCAGUUGAUCGCCUCGCGAACCUUUCCAAUUACGAGAGUAAACAAAAUAUAAUAUUAGAGUGUACAGUUAUGUACUCAUUCCCGUUGCUUCAUAAUUAGAUGUGUACAGAGUAUUAAAUAUAUAUAUAGCUGUUGUUUCAUGUGAUCAUGGGAUGUUGGUUGAAGCUUCAAUUUGGAAGAGAAAUUAAACCCAAGGUACAUAAGCUCACAAGUAUAUUCCCAGCUUUAAGCCUUUAACACCGAAGUGGAUUUAGAUUGGCUGUUUAUUAAAGUAAUCCCCACUUAAUUAAGUUUAAUUUAGAUAAAACCAUCGAGUGAAAAGAAGAUUGUACAGGUAGCGAAAUGCAAGAAAAACCACAACUGAGGAGCUCAGAGUUUUCCAGAGCUAUAACAUAAACUUUAACUUAUCCUACUGUGCGCAAUUAACUAAAAACUUAAUAAUUAAUAUUUAUUUAAAAUCUAAUUAUUUUAUGUUUUUAACUAAAAUAAUUUUACAUAAAGGAAUAACACAUGAGCUUCAAAGGCGUCAGGAAUGUCACUGUCAAAAAUGUGCAUAAAUAAAUAAAUAUAUAUAUAUAUAUAUAGUAGGGUUAGAAUACUUGUAAAAGUAUCAUGGGGGUGAUACUUGUGUGUUUUUAGCCCUUGGAUGGAGAGAUGUGAGGUUGAGAUGAUGGUGGUAGGUGUGGGUAAGUUAAGAAUGGAUAGGUGGAAUAGUAUUUAAUCCAGGGCUAUUAAUAAUCAAAAAGAUAUCCAUGGCUAAAACCUAAUAGCACCAAUGAUGGUGAUAUUGUAAAAGUAUCAUAGCUCAACUCUAUAUAAUAUAUAUAUAUAUAUAUAAUAUAUUAUAUAUAUUAUAAUAUAUAUAUAUUCAUUUGUCAAUACAAUAAUAAUAAUCCAAGCUUCCCGAAGAAACUAGGAUGCUAGCUUGAUAGUAUCUUUCGGAGGUGGCAAUGUUAAUUUGAACGGCCCAUUUCUUUUCGAAGAUUUAAAAUUCAAAAUACAAAGUUCACAAUCCGGAAAGACUCAACGCGGACCGAGGUCUUGUUCGUUAUAAAACUGCCCAUCCGAGUUUUAAAUUUGCAAACUUGUUCGGGAUUCACGACUCGAGUGAGAUUUUUUAUGUUGUUUUGUUUUUAUAUUACUAUUGCAGGUUCCGAAUCCUUGGCGUGGGGCACUUCCAACAAUAUUGAUAUAUAUAUAUAUAUAUAUAUAUAUAUAUAUAUAUAUAUAUAUAUAUAUAUAGAGUUGGACUGAGCUAUACUAUAAGUACCAAAAUUUCAUUGUUGUUAUCAGUUUUUUAGCUUUUAGAUCAACUCUUUUCAUUAUUUCUAACUAUUGGAUUAAAUACUAUAACCCAGUUGGGGCAACUCAACCCUAGGGGGACAACUCAACUCUAACCGACUAAUAUCAUCCUGAUCCUAUAAUUUUUCAUCCAAAGGUUAAAAACUUGAUAACAAAAAGAGCGUUUUACUAUUAAUAGUAUUCCAGUCUAAUUCUAUAUAGCAAAAAGAGCGUUCCGGUAAACCCAAUUAGUACAGCUCAAGAGGCAAAGUACAAAGUACAAUUGUACUGAGCCCUCUUCAACUAUAGAAGCAAGUCCCUUAGUGUUUUUUUUUUUUUUUUUGAGAAAACUUUAAAAACUGUACCCUAUGAUUUAAAAUGUAUGAAGUUAGUAUCAUGUGGUUUCUUACUUUAUCAUUUUAGUACCCUGUGGUUUAAAGUGUAUCAAGUUAGUACCCUGUGGUUUUGCACUUUAUCACUUUAGUACUCUGUGAUUUUAAUUUUGUAUCAAGUGAGUACCCUAUAGUUUUUUAAACCAUAGGGUACUAAAGUGAUAAAGUGUGAAAUUAUAGGGUACUAAAGUGAUAAAGUGCAAAAUCACAGGGUACUAACUUGAUACACUUUAAACCAUAAGGUACUAAAGUGAUAAAGUGAGAAACCACAGAAUAUUAAGUUGAUACACUUUAAACCACAGGAUACUAAAAUAAAAAAGUGUGAAAUCACAGGAGGGGGUUUUUGAAGUUUUCCCUCUUUUUUUUUUGUUGGGUAUGAACAUCCCCAGCUUUCAAUUUUUCUUACUUAACGUUUAUUCUACAGGAUCAGCUGAAGAUUUCACUAAAUUUACUAUAUCAAGUAAUUAUUAUCAGUCAUUAAUUGUUAAAAUUGUAUUUACUGAAAAACUAAUUAAACUUCGCAAAACUAUUAUUUGAAUUUAAUAAAAUCCUUAAUCUAUGUAAUUUAAAAUUACUUAAAUUUUACCCUAUAUAUAUAUAUAAUCCUUAAUCUAUGUAAUUUAAAAUUACUUAAAUUUUACCCUAUAUAUAUAUNAUAAGAUGAGGAGUCAUUCAAAAAUAAAAAGUUCAAGGCCAUUCCAAAGUUUAUAACUGGAGAAAUUAUUCUUUGUAGGAUUUUCUUUUCUUUCUUUUUUUUUUUUAGUUCUUCUCAUUUUAUGCCUGUAGUAGAGGGAGUCCAUUUCGCCCCCCCCACCCAACACACAGUGAACGACAUGAAAAACGAUUGAUCAAAUUUUAACCUAGAACCGCACCCAUGCAGAUCUCAGGACUGCAUCUGCAAAUUUACCCAAGCCACACUACUGGUGCUGCACCACGCACGUGAUAGCGCUGUGUACUGUGUAGAAACAAGAUUUGAAUGGGGGACGCUUAAAGGGUAUGCGUAGCAUUUCACCUUAUAAACGAAGUUGGGAGACCGAGUAAUAAUAACACUAACUUCAAAUUUGAAAACUUCCAAAACAAUUCUUAGGCCACCACCAAACUGAUCGGUAAUAAAACGAAGAAAGUAAAAUUAAAUCAGCAUUAAAACAAAGAUAGCACACAUCCACAGCUGGAUCUAUCAAAAGUGAAAGAGUGAAUGAAAAUAGCCACAACAAUGGUGUGAAAUAAUAGCAAACUGUAUAUAUAGAUAUAUAUAUCAAACUAUCAGGCGGAACUCACAUACAUAUCUACAGAACGACGCAAACCACAUAGAAAUGCAAAUUUAUUACCUAGCGACACAGCUCGACCCGGAUGAAAACCCUAACGCCUAGAUCGGACCACGAUCUGGACAAUGCUGUGAAAGAACAAAGACACGGCGUGCUGAAGAGGGGGCGCAUACGAAGCGUACGGAGAGAGGGAGAGGCCGAUCGUUCCGCAACCGAACCAGAGAGACCCGGAUCGGGCUGGCGCGUCGGGAAGCUUCUUCAGUGGCGGAAGAAGGAGAGGAUGAGCGCGGCGGCGGAGGCGAGGAACGCGGCGGCCAGCGGGGCAGAGAGGGUUCCCGCUGCGGAGGUGGGGCUCGGCGCCGGGGCCUCGGCGGCGGAAGCUACGGCGGCGAGGGAUGCCGCGGCCACGGCCGCGACGCAGAUCGCGAGAUCCUUGCUAACGAUGGGCGCCAUUGCUCUCUCCUUCUCCUUCUUCGUGGGAUCCUCGAAGAGGAGGAAGAAAAUGAGGAAGGAGAGAUCGGAGGCUAGGGUUUUGGUGGGAGGAGGGGAAAGGAGCGAGUUCUCGGAGACGGAGUGGUGACGGGAGAGAAAGUAGGGAGGGCGGGUAUAUAUAACAAAGUAGGCGGAACGAGCGGGCAGGAGGGGGGAUGACAGCUGGCGAAGGGCCGUAUGACAGCCUGCUGUAGUGGUGGCCCCGCGUGGGAUUUCCUCCCUCACCACUCGAUUUCCCAUAAUGCCCUUCCCUUUUUGUUAAAUAAAUUAAGCACCUAGCCUGAUAUUCUCACACCUUUCCAACCAAAUAUCCUACUAAAUUAAUUUUAUUUAUUAACUUGUAUUCAAAAAAUUUUGGAAAAACUUCAAAAACCCCCCUGUGGUUUCACAAUUUUUUAUUUUCAUACCCUGUGGUUUAAAGUUUAUCAAAUUAGUACCAUGUGGUUUCUUACUUUAUCACUUUAGUACCCUGUGGUUUAAAGUGUAUCAAGUUAGUACCCUGUGGUUUUGCACUUUAUCACUUUAGUACCCUGUGGUUUUGCACUUUAUCACUUUAGUACCCUGUGGUUUCACACUUUAUCACUUUAGUACCAUUUGAUUUAAAAAACCACAGGGUACUAACUUGAUACAAAAUUAAAACCACGGGGUGCUAAAGUGAUAAAAUGUAAAACCACAGGGUACUAACUUGAUACACUUUAAACCACAGGGUACUAAAGUGAUAAAGUGAGAAACCACAGGGUACUAACUUGAUACAUUUUAAACCACAGGGUACUAAAGUGAAAAAAAUUGAAACCACAAGGGGGGUUUUUGAAGUUUUCCCAAAAAUUAUUCUAUAAAAAUAUUUAUGCAAACCGUACGUAUACAAUUUACAAAAAUACAAAAGCAAGAAAAAAAAAUAAAAAAAUUAAAAAAGUAUAUAAGGGUGAAUUUAGCAGUGGGAAACCACUUGGCCGACGGUUUCAAAAUCGCUUUAUUAUUAGUUGCUUGUUUCUGUGCGUUACCAAUAAUAAUAAUAAUAAUAAUAAUAAUAAUAAUAAUUAAUUAAUUAAUAAAGAAAAACUGUAACGCAAAGCCCAAAAUGGGAACGUUGAGAAGGGCUUUUCGGUCAUUUGGCAGGAGGGGGGGAGAGCGGUUGGGGAGUCGGUUCGACUACUCUCCCCUUUCAGGGAGGCCUACGCUCUGCGCUGUUGGCUGUUGCGGUCUGCUGCCGCGGCUUCCUCUGCCGUGUCGCUUUCUUGCGAGGCUGUGCCACGUUCAGUUUCGUCCCAUUUUCAGGAGGAAUUCUACACUGUCACACUUGCACCACGUCAUCAAUAACAAGCCAAUCAUAUUCCUUUUUUUUAAACAAAAGUACAAUAAAAAUACUUUUUUACAAUCAUGAUGGGAUAUAUAUUCUUAAAAGGAUUAAUUUGAUUGGUUUGUUACGCCACGUCACUAAUAUACCCGUUGCAUUCUAGAAUUUUUCCAUUUUCAGAAACUCAUAUAUCAUUAUUAGUAAAAAUUAAGCUAAAUAUAACGGACAGUCCCUAGAGCAAGUAAUAAAAGACUUGUUGGUUGGUACUCGAGAUUUAAGUUCGAAUUCUAGUUGAUUCACAUAUCUAGCUAAAUUUAUAUCUAAAUAAAAUAAACGAAGCGGGUAAUGUGCUAUCUAUUUCUCAAAAAAACAAUAAAAAAGUAAAUAUAAGAAUGCAAUGGAGGAAGGGUGGACCAAUUUUGUUGAUUUUAACUACUAUUUCCUUCAUCCUCAUUAAGUAGUUGUUACUUGGGCCGCCGUCUUAGAGGUCAAGGUUUAAUUGCAGCCGUAGAUUUUAGAACUGGGGUUUUGAAUCUUCCAGUAUAGAAGAUAUAUACUUGAGGAGGAUAGUGGGUGCAGUUUAUUCAAAAAGAGGGGGCUUGUAAUUCGUGAUAUUUUUGAGGAAAAUGAAUGUAUUGUGUGCAUGUAAAUUUAUUGGUUGGUUCAUAAAUAACAAUUCAAAUGGAUUGCAGAUAAAAAGAACGAUUCCAUUUGUCAUGCAUCCUGCUGUUUAAAUGCACGCGGUACCAACAAAGAAAAAUUUUACUGCAUUUUACUACAACUCAGAGAACUUUUGAUCAUUUUUCUAAUAACAAUGGAUAAAACAUUAGUAGCAUAUGACGGAACAUACAACAAGUAAAAACAACUUCAUUUGGCAAGUAAACCAUGAUUAGGACAUCUAGAAUACGAGGAAAAGAUUAAAUAAACUCCAAGGCAACAAGAGUCUUGUGCACAGGUUUUUAUUAUCACAAAGGACCGUCAAACCUAACACAGCCAAACAAGGAUUUACUUGUAACAUUUUGAGGGACAUAACUUACAGUAAAAGCUCACAUUUUGACAUACGUGUAGCUUUCAAUGAACCAGUUGAGUGGCUAUCUGUUGCUUGAAGUAAUACUAAUGAUCACAUUAUUAAUUAAUGUUACAUUAUUAUUGAGAUUUUGUGUUCAUAAGAAAACCCAUUUUAAAGAACACCCUGAGCCACAUGUAUGUAACCCCACUUAAGGCUUUAGCUAAUAAGCAAACUUAUUAUAUGCUCUCACCAUCAUCAUCAUCACUUAUUUGUACUUAGCUUGUGCACCGUUGGACUGUCUUUAUAUAUAAGGCAUAGGAUGACUACGAAGACAAAGAUGUAUCGACCAAAAUAGAGAAUAAAAUGUCACCAUAUAAUUUGAUCUCUCUCUCUCUCUCUCUCUCUCUCUCUCUCUCUCCCUCUCAUGCAACCACUUUAGUGCACGACCAUCAGCUUCGCACAUCCAAAAAAAUGAGAGAAAAGCUUAAACCUUAUUCAAUAACCAAUAUUUUAUACUAGUCUUAUUAAUUUUUUUUUUCAUAUUAGAAAUUUUAAAAAGGUGUCUACAUUCAUGGAUGGUGGAUUUAAAAUUUGCUUCUACUUUUAAAUGUACAAGUAACAUUUGUUUUUGUGCAAUGCCAAUGGCUGUGGCCAUCACCAACCAGAAACAAGAGAACAUACAUAGUGGUUUAUUGAGCUGUAUGAAUAUGGGUUGUCUAGUUUUGGCACAUGGAGACUGGGUAGCUGCUUCUCUGUUUUUGUGGUGUUUCUUGGAAUCUUCAAAGCAAAGCUACCCCACAACCUACUGUAAUUCUUAAUGGAAAAUGAUUAUACAAACACCUGGUCUCAAAGCAUUAUCUCAAACUCUUUAAUAUCCUGUGUUGGGUGAACACAGGAUCAGCCAAUAGGAUGGGAGAAAAUUUCGGUAAAAUUAUGUCCGUUGCCCACAAAAAAAAAGAAAGAAAAGAGAACAUGAGAUCAUAUACAGCUUUACUAGCAUAGGCUUCAUGCUUUUACAAUCCAAUACAGAUAAGGAAAGAAAGGCAAAAUAGGAGGGUAAAAGAAAACACAAAUAGAAGGAGAUGAGCGAUCGAAAAGGAGAAACGACGAAGCAGAAGCGAGAGUCAACUAAUGAUUGUUCUUCUUUGUUUUACAUUUGCUGUUUAACCAUAUUGUUCAUAUUGUUCUGAUUUGAUCAUACCUCUCUGCAAAUAAUCAUACAGGAGCCAAUGUCGAACUGAUUUGACCAUACCCUAUACUAAUGAUAUGAUAGCAAUGCAAAUUAGCUAAUUCAAAAAUCAUGAAAACAACUAAAAUCAUCAGAAGAGCAAAAAAUUAUAUUAAAAUAUCUUCUUUUUCACUAAUCCCUGGAAAGAGAAAACCUUUCCUUACAGUCUGAGGAGGAAAUAGGUUUAGAAAUGGUUUAUCGUAUCUUCGAGGCUGAUCUCCACAAGCUACGUUGAUAAUAGGUUUAGAUUGUUCUCAAUGUAAUAAUGAACUACAAUAACAUAGAUUUUUUUCAAAUUACGACAGCUUUGGCCGCAAGUAACACACGUGGCACACUACUUUUAUACAAAUGACCAACAGCAAGAAAUGACCAUGUUAACCAAACAGAUGUUUUUCAAGGCUAUUCAGAGAUUAUAUACACAGUGCAACACAACAAAGCCAAGCAAUUAUAACAUUAAGUCACAAAUUUAUUACUCUGACCAAAGUUGCUUUGAUGUAUGCUUCAAGCGCUGAAACCUCUCUGCAGAGAACUCCAGGGGUUGGAGGGGAUCCUCAUACAAGCUUGUGAAGAAACCUCGGCCAUGCUCUCUUUUCUAACACCUGCAUUGCAGAUAUUUGCGAGGGAUCGCAUGUGCUUCAUGCCAUAUUGGGCUAACGACCCACAAUAAGUUUCAAUAGUCCGAACCUACACAAAAGAAAAGAGGUUCUUAAGAAUGAGGAGCAAGAUCAGAUUGUGUGAAGUUUACAUAGUAAUUUUGAAAAAAAAAAUAAAGCACGUAAAUAUGUCAAGCCUAAGGUACAAUUUUCUCAUAAAAUAAGGAAGACUUGAAUUCGAGGUUUAUGAGUGGUCGACUAAAAAGGCUCCAUGUGGAUGAUGCAAAAUAAACCCAUUGUUAUGGGUGAAAUGAGUGAAUCUCCAUUAAAAGAUGCUGACAUGAAUCUCUAUUAAAAUUAACCCAUGUUGGGGUGUAAUGUUUCGACCAACAAAUUUUACAAAGGAAAAAGAUGCUGACAUGAAGGUAAGAACAGGGGGAAAAUAUUGCAAGGGCUAGUACCAUCAUAGCCGCAAUGGUUUUAAGGUUCAAUAACAUUUUGAGCCCCUGUUCUGCAAAAAUAAUGGUUCAUCGUUCACUUGAGUUCAGGGACAGUUCAAAGCGCCUCCUUCAGCACGCAGAACUUAUUUUCAUACUCUUUGACGGCUUCACACUUUCGAGUUAAGGAAAGUUUUUUUUUUUGUGUGCGUGUGCAUGUGUGUAAGAAAUGCAUUCUUUCCUUGUUAUUAAAUUGGCAAUUUUGGAAUUCAUAUGCAUUGAAAAGUUUCAGAUGAGGAGGGUCAGAAGUGUCCUCUAGAUAUCACGAGACAAGUUUAUAGACACUAUGGCAACAAAAUUUUUUUACCCUAUGUUCAGCUUAUGUUAAGCAAUAUUUACAAAGAGUAAGUUUAAAGAAAGCUAGUCUAAGCAUUUCUUCUAAUGCUCCUUAUGAUCCUAAAUUAAGACAAAAAAGAGAAAUGGAAGCUGAAAAACACAUUUACCAUUGAUUUAAGGCAAUCCCAGUCAUCAACCAAUGGCAGGCCAACUGGUCGAACAGCGGUUAGCACCUUUGGGCCUUCCUCGGCACCAAAGAGAAGUUUUCCAAUGAGUUCAAUACUGUUAUCCACAUGCAGCCUAUGAGACAUUACUUCAAACAAUUGCUUCUGAGCUUCAAGUUUCUUAGAGGAGCCUUCAGGCGAGCUUCGGAACUAACAUGUUACAAAAAAGGAAAAAAAAAAGACAGACAAACACGUCAAUAAACAAAUACAAUCAGCAACGAAGUACAAAAAAGAGUAAAACAAAAGAAGAAAAAAAAAAAUACAACCAAAUUUAAAUAUUGCCUAUAGGGCUUGUUUUGCCCAGGAGCUUCUCCAUUGCCAUGUCCAAGUGACGCAGUUAGAAGAAGCAGUUAGAAGAAGCGCUGAUUGCUUCUUUAUGAAAACCCUCUCAACAGCUUCACAAAAGCUUCACACUUCAGCAAAAGCAGAAGCUUCAAAUUGGAGUUUCUACCUUGGGGGUCCAAAAGUUAUUUAAGCUUUUGUCACAACAAAAGCUCUAGGCUUUUUGAUUGACAAAUACCUGGCUGCUAGAUAAGCUAUUCUAAAGGCCAAGCCACACAGCCCAAUACAACAAUUUACAAAUCACAAUUGUUCGAAUCAGCAAACGACUUAAGAAUUAACCUUGUGCCAAAAAUAAACCAAAUCCGCAUCUCGUUGAUUAACAGCCAUCGAGAAUGAUGGUAAUGAGUUGUCAAUAGUGAACGUGUUGUUGUCAUUAGCAGGGUUUGUACCAAUGAAGAAGAACAGUUGUUCAGUACUGAGAUCUAGAUCCCCAUACUGCAUAACAUGUGAACCAAAGCUGAAUGAACCUCGAACUGCUGUCCUGGCUUUUACCUGUAAAAAUCGUAAGAGAAGUUGAGAUUUGCAGAUCAAUCCAGCAGGACAGAUAAGUGAGCAGAUGCAUUGCAUGGGACACUUACUAGCUGAUAUUGCUGGUUUAGAGUUUCAGUCUGAAGAUUGUGUACAUCACUGUCCAAACCAGAAAAUAUUAAUACAUAAAUAAAAGAUUGAGAACAAACUAUUAUAUAGGCAGUGUUAGAAAAUUUGCAUUCACAACUACAACUAAGGCAUGUGAAAAUAAUAGGCCGUGCAAAACGUUGAGUCAAAAACAAGUCUCAAAAUGUGUUAAACCAUCGACAAACGUGGUAAGCCUUUACUCGAUUUAGUAUAUUAUCAUCAAAACCAAUAUUGUCAUGAUAUAGAAAAAUGCUAAAGUUCUCUUACUUCUGCCCCCAGUUCAUAAGCAAUUUUGAUUUUAACAAGAUGCGACUCUGACCUAGCAUUAAUGGUCAAAUAAAAGACAGCAGACAAGCAAAAGGCAAUUCCUUCCAGAUUUGUAAGCUUGAAUCUUGAGCACUCCGUUCAAAGAAUUCUUCCCAGGACCCCACCUUGGUGAGGCCGAAACUGGGUUAACCGGAUAAUAGCUUUUUUUUGCAUGUUCAUGUCUGAGACAGAUUUUGUAAUUACCAUGUAAAUACUUUAGGGGCAUUUUAAUGUACUAAUUAUGUGAUAUGACUCUGUCAACAAAAGAAUAAGAUUCUGAUCUUUUUGAACUAGUUGCAUUUCAGAACGAUGUUGUAGUUCUGUAAUUUAUAAUAGACAAAGUUGUGAAAUAAUAUACCUGUCUUCCAUCCAAGCGACACUAUACAAAUCACCCAAACAGGUAUCAUACUCUGGAGGAGGGCUAGGGAACUGCCCGGGGCAAUAAGUGCCCCAACUACUUUCCAGAGCAUUUGCUGCUGUGGUUGCGUAGACAUUUAUAUCUUUGGGCAGAAGGCCUUCAAAGAUACUCCCAGAUUCGCAAGCUUCAAGAUAAAACACCUGCAGGGAUUACAUGAUAAACGACUAUCCCAACACCUCUAUGGCAGACAACAGAAUGUAUAAUAGGAAAAUAAAAAUUUACCAUGCUUUUAUAGGUUCCAGAAGCAUGUUUUUGCUUCAGAACAGCUAUCAGGUCAUUAGCGUAAAGGUAAGGGUAAGUUGGCAUCCCUGCAAAAGUUGUAGACAUUGAUCCACUCAGAAUAUAUAGUAAAGGAGAUAAAAGUUUUGAGAGAAGCAAAAGUCUAACAAUUUUAAUAACCCAGCAGGUCACUCAUAAAUGAUAUUCAAUUUGACUAGAAAAUUUGAAGUCUAUUCAUUUAUGCUUAAGGAGACCUAUUGGCUUCCAAACAAGAUUCAACAAAACAACUUGACAUAUUUUCUCAGACUUUUGCAAUGGAGAGAAGUUAAAAUAAACUCUUAGGCCCAAAAGUGAACACUCCUGUUGGAAUCUUCUACUUUUACUACGGCUAGAAGUAAAGAGGAGAUUUUCAUGGAAAAUCUAUCGGUUCUAGUUUAAGCAGCUCUACACAGAACCCUUCAGCAAAGCACUGACCAGUUAAGCUGGUCCGACAAAUGCAAUUUAUUUUAAUUAAACUUGGAACCAGUUAAGCUGGUCCCAAAAAUGCAAUUUGCUUUAAUUAAACAUGGAACCCGUAUACUAAUCACUAAAAUAUACCUUUGUACAAAAUUCAACACUAAAUACAAUUUGUUGUCACAUUGUCCUCCUCUUUGUCUCUUCCCAUUAUAUAUAUGAGUCCGGCUACUAUACUCUUAUGAGUAUAGACCCUUUUGUACUCAUAAGUUCUCGGCCGUUAGAUUUACUCCUUUGAUCAUUUCUACACGUUAGAUCAUACUAUUCAACCAACCAUCCACUCAACCCUAGGGGACCACUAUUAACCUAACCGGGGAUCACUAUCAUCCUAACCACACAUCCUUUCAUCCAACAGUCGAAAACUUAUGAGUACAAAGGGUUCUAUACUCAUAAGAGUAUAGUAGCCCUAGUCUAUAUAUAUAUAUGCUUUUUCCCCUACUGCACCAUUCUUAUUGGAGGCAAAAUUUGGUACAUGCUCAUCUAAUAUAUUUGGUCUAUACUGAACUAGAACUUGUAAGACCAGUCCCAUUUAUGCCAAUAGGCAACCAAAACGUGCAAAGAUAACUACUAACCAAGAACGCCAGGUCCACCAUGAUCGGAGUAGAAUAUGAAGAUGUGAUCAUUAGGACCACUAUCAACGACUUUCCCGCUUCCACCAGUAAGAGCAGUUUUAUUUCCAAGUAGAACGGCAAAGAAAUUGUUGACAGUGACAUCCUCUCCAACAUAAUCCUGCAAAAAGUUAAACCAGAAUUUCAUAACGAAUUAGAGAUGCUUACAGUAUAAUUGUUCCAUUUUUAGUACUUGAGGGAAAAAAAAGCAAACCUUCGGAACUCCUGCAUAUACAUCCCCACCCUGUGGAUGGUUUAUGAUGACUCCAGGUCUAGGGUUUUCCUCGUUGUAGGCAAUAUCAUCGUACAUGAAGACAAUGAUGUUCUCAUCUUUCAAUCCGCCCUUCUUCAACGUUUGAUAAGCAUGACAGACAUCAGCCUACAGAUUUUGUACAUGAAAUGGUUAUCCAUCUACGAGGCAAAUUUAUAAAUCUAAUAGACAUUACACAGAUGGCAUGACAUGAUAAGGAAGAGCUCUUUUUUUGUUUUUUUUUUUUUUUCUUCUAUAACACGUCGAGAAAAGUUCAUAUGCAUAUAUAAUAGACACUGCAGCUUUAUACAUAGGAAGCUAACAAAAAAAAAAAGGAAGAAAAACAUAGAGUUGUACUGGAACAACCUAGCAACAAGAGAUAUCAAUGAUAAGAAACAACCAAGCAAGUGAAAUAAAAUUUGGCUUUUGGAAAGACGUAGUUAAGAGGAGGCACAACAGAAAUAUAGCUAUAAAGAUAUCCAUAACGUACUUCUAACUAAGUGCUCAAAUGUUUGGUUGUAAAUUCCCUAGUAUAUAAAUGAUCUUGAUGUAUACAAUAGACACCUUUCUGAGGAAAGUACCACUUUAAAGAUGACAGAAAGAUAAUUCGACAGAUGUUUACGACAUUGUUUCAAGUCGAUGACAUUGUUCCAUUUUUUUUUGGGGCUCGUCAAAGGACCUACACAAUUAACUGAUGUUGUGACCCUGAGGAAUACGGGAGAUGCCACUUUAUACAGAUUCCACACCAUCCCUGAUAAAUGUAGUAAUAAAUUCCUUGAUCAUUUUUCACUCUGUACAAAUUCCACACUACCCCGAUAAAUGUAUAUAUCAGUUCUACGCAGGUUUAAUUGCACUUUUUCUAGAAAAACUACAGCCGCUACCCCUCAUGAGAAGUGCCGAAAGGCAAACUGACAGUGAGCUCUUUCAACUAAAAUCUGCAAGCUACCAUUUCAGAAUAUAUCCAUAGUCUAUAUAAUCCAGCUAUAUACAAUUGAUAAUGAAAAAAAAAAAAAAAAAAAAAAAAAAAAAAAAAAAAACUGGACGCAGCUUAAAGAGGGAAAUGAUCGAGAAUCUUUUUGAAUUCUUCUCCUAGAGAUAUUCACGUGUAGCUCGACAAAAGUCCAAUAGAAAAACACUCGCUCGACUAAAACCGACUAAAACCAACAGCUGGAUGCUAUUUUCACUAUGUUCCACAGAUUAAAUUAACCAACAAAACGCCAAAUCCAGUAAUAUACGUGACAAAAAACAAACAACACUAAUCUUGUACAGUUGGCAUCUUUCUAUCCCUGAUGUUUCCAGCAAAAACCUUCCCACUUAUAAGGACAUGCGAGAUUCCCGACCCUAUUCAUUGAAUUCGUAAACUACAAGAUGGUUGGUUUCUUCUUCAAUAAAUAUCAAACACAUAAUAAUAAAGAUAAGGGGGGCGUAAAACCUUCUUAGCACACGCACUGUCCCACUCAUGAAUAGAAAAUCCAAGAUAAGAAAAUUCGGGAUCAUGAGCUCAAUAACAUAUAAGCUUUUUGGUCCUACACCAAAAAAAAAAGAAAAAAAAAUCAAAAUGUAAUUUAUAUUAACAAAUACUAAAUCAGAAACCUCAAUUUACACACGACUGCAAUUAUAAUAUUAAAAAACAUAGCCUGAUGUUUUGUCUUACUCUUGUAUUCGUUAAGAAGAAAAUUCCAGAUAAAAAGAAGGAAAACAACAAUGGGAGAAUAUAACACGAUGAGCUCUUUUCGUCAAGUACUCCAAAAUCUAAACGAAUUAAACACAAAAAAGAAAGGGACCACGAAAUAUACCAAAUCGUAAUUAGCACGGAAGCAACGAAUCCACCGUAAAAUAUAUAUAUAUAAAAAUAAACAGCAUAAAAAUUUCGAAGACAACGGAGAGAAUACGAAGGAUAUGAAAGGCGGAGUAUACCUGGUGUCGAUAAUUCCCGUAUCCGGAGGAACCGGCGAUGAGAACCGCCCACCUCGUCCCCACAUCGUCGUCCUCGUCGCCGUUGAUCCGCUCGACCUCGCGAGCGGACGGUAGCCGGAGGGAGGGGUCAAGGCGGGAGUCAACGAGGAGGACCGGGAAGAGGAGGAGGAGAAGAGCCGCGAAGGCGAGGAAAUGGCCCAUCGGAUCGGCGACUCGGCGAUACGGGGCUCCGCGGAUUAACAGGAGAAGAGGAACCUUUGUUGGUGCUCGGUAGGGGGAACGAAGGAAGGAACGAAGGAAGGGAGGAGGACGAUUCCUUUUUAUAAAGUGUAAGAUGUGGGUCCAGCGGAUACUCGUUCGCCCCCUCCCAUUUUAAUUGGCUUAUCGAUAUUGGCCGUUGGAUCCUACUUUGGUGUUGUAUGGCGUCUAUCAGACCGUACACUUAACUUGUGGGGGUCCCACGUGGGAUCCCCGAGAGUGUUGCGAUGAUGUUGACUCGGUGCGGCGGUAACGCCACCAGAGAGUAGAAAGUGUUGUCUCGACCGUGUCACCGUCUGAUCACCAGCUCGCAUGUUUAGUUGGAGCACUAGUGGGAUCUCAAUUUAUUUUCUACUGUGGUUUUACGGUUGAUUUUGUUCAACAUAUUAAUUUCUCGUCUGAGUAAAUCUUUUUUCUUAAAAAAAUUAAUGAUGUCAUUAUUGUUGUUUGAUUAUUUAGCUGAUUAUAAACUACCGGAAAAAAAAAACAAAAAAGCAGUUUCAGAGGUUGAAUGCCUAGAGGCCAACACAUCUGAAGUUUGGUUAAAACUUAUCAAAAUUGUGAGCAUUUUCGUUCCCAAAUCAUCCACUCAAAUUUAUGCAAGGUCGGAACUUCGGUCAGAAUAUAAAUUAACACAUGCACUAUACGCGAAUUACACUUUAAGUUAAGUUUUGGUGCAAUCGAAAAAUCUAAUUAAAAUAAAUAUAUGAUCUGUGACGAUGCAUGUUGAUAAACAAUUUAGGAUUGGGCUAGUGUCCAGCCCAGUGCGGCUUAACCCAGUACAGUACAGCCCAGUAGACCACUGCAUGGUGAACGUACCGAGACGUGACACGAACUCGACCCAAUCCCCCCUUUCUUAAACAAGACCGGGCCUGGUUAGCGGUUUCCCGUCGCGAGGAUGGAGUUUUUCGCGGUCUCGUACUCCGCCGCCGCGUCCUCCUCCUUCUCCCUCACGCUUCCUCCUCCUCCUCCUCCUCCUCUCGCUCCUACUCCCUUCGUUCGCUUUGUUGUCCGAAUACGGGGCCCGUACAACAACAGGCGCCGCGUCUCCGCCCUAUCCAAAACCCUAGAGGAAUCCCCCGCCUCCUCCUCUUCUUCCUCUUCCUCCUCCUCCUCCUCCUCCUCCUCCUCCACUCCUACCUCGGCCUUCAUUGCCAAAUCAUUCAAAUCCCCAGCGAGGAGAUCCGCCAUUGCUGAGGUUGAAGCUUCGAGCGACCUCGAUGCAGCUCUAUCCAGGUUCGGCUCAGCACUCCUAGUCUCGCCCUCGCUGGGAAUAGAACAGCGUCUUAUUUCCCAUUCGUCGCCGUAAAAGAGAAUUUCGCCAUGAGUUUGUCGUAUAUGCCUCACUCACUACGAUUGCUUAGUAACAAAUAUAUUGCACGAUGAAUCCGUAGACUCCGGUUCUUCUUAUGUCAGCACGCCAUACUAGUUCAACCUUUGCUCCCGUUUAAGCAUAACACGCCAUAGUUCUCUUUGCAUCUACAAACUUGCUGAUGUUUAUAUUUACCUGAUGCUCUACCAAUCUAAGCUUUCUGAUCUUUUGCAUUUUUGAUGUCUGCAGAGUAGAAGGAAUAUUGCGAAUACAAGAUUAUAACAUCAUUUUACGCUAUUUUGGGGAGUCGAGAAGAUGGAGUGAAAUGUCUCAGGUUUGUAAAGUCGAAAACUUUCUUAGUCCUCUUUUAUGUUGGCUUUAGUGAGAGAUAGUAGAGGUUUGUGAUAAGAGUGUUUUGACCAUCAAGGUGAAAAUAGCCAUGAGAAGAUUUAUGGUGAUAUCUGAAAUAGACGUGACAACACUUAUUCUAUUGUUAUCCUCAAUUUUAAAAUUUACUGCGACUAGCACUGUGCGAUAUUAAGAGCUUAAUAUUUUGUGUACCUUUUAAGAUGCCGUGGAGCUUCAUUUGAUAUUUCUAGAGCUAACAAAUAGCAUCAGUGUGGUUUAUCACUAGGAUUUUCCAGUUUGGAUUUUAAAGCAGAAUCAAGACAAAUUGUUUGGUGAUACUUGACUAAAGUUUGUCUUUAGUAAGCAUUCCUUAAAAUAUAACUUUGUAUGAGAAGAAACUAAUACCAUUUUUUAUGGGUGCACUCUCAGCUUUUUGAAUGGAUGCAAAAGCACGAGAAGCUUGACUUUGUAUCAUAUAGCAGCUAUUUCAAAUAUAUUGGUGUAAGCUGUAAUCCUGCAAAGGCCUUACAAGUGUACGAGAGUAUCCCUGAUAAGCUGCUGAAAGUCAAUGUAUCUGUUUGUAAUUCUUUCCUUGGUUGUAUGCUAAGGAAUGGAAGGUGUGAGAGCGGUCUCAAGUUGUUUGAGCAGAUGAAAGAUGACGGUCUCUCACCAGAUUUGGUCACCUAUAGUACUGUAUGUUACAUUUGCCCACAGCCAGGAAUUUCUUGAUAAUAUGUGUUGGGUUCUAGCAGUCCUAGCACUCCAUUUCCAACCUAACAUGUCUUCUUUUCUUUUUACCCCUUUAUCUUCUUAUUAUAGCUUAUAGCCGGUUGCACAAAACUGAAGAGUGGUUAUUCGAAGGCAAUGGCGUUGGUCCAGGAAAUGAAAAAUAAUGGGGUGCGCAUGGAUAGUGUGAUGUACGGCACUCUUUUGUCCAUCUGUGCAGCUAAUAAUUUAACUGAAGAGGCAGAGAAGUAUUUUCAGCAAAUGAAGGAUGAAGGAUGCCAUCCUAAUUUGUUCCACUACAGCUCUUUGCUUAAUGCAUAUGCUGUAGAUAGGGAUCACGUAAAGGCUGAGAAGUUGGUAAAUGAUAUGAAAUCUUCAGGAGUAGCACCCAAUAAGGUUUGUUUAACCUUUACUUCUAUGUUAUUCCUUUGCUUCCUCAUCCUUUUCCAGAAACAUGGAUAUUUUAAGAUGUUUUUCUAUAGGAAGAUUGUUGCUGAUACUAUGUAACACAUCCAACAAAUGUACUGUGAACUUCUGACUUCUUUUACGUAUUUCAUCAUCCUCAGUUAUCAAUUAUAUUGUAAGCAGCUUGUUACUAAUUAUCAAAAAUUUAAGUACCCUUGUUCAACUAAAGACAUGAUUUCAUUCUACUUGAACUAUGGCUUGCUCUCCUGAAGGUCUUUCAGUUGAUGGAAACCCCAAAUGCUUCCCAACUUCUUACAGUAACACUCCGAUUAGUUAUCCUUAACUUCAAUUUGAAAAGGUUGACACCAAGAAUAAUGUCAACAGUUCUCUAAUUUCUUACUCAUGAUUGUUGCUGCCGAAUUUCAGCAGUUGUGUGCUAAAAGAUUUACAAACGGCUGAUCAUGCCAAGCAAAUUGAAUUUUACAAAUUGAGCAGGAUAAGGAGUUGUUAGAAAUGAUUUAUUGGUGUUUCAUCAAACUAUUUCUAGUUCCUAUUUUUGAAGAAUAAUUUCUCUACUCAUCAAUUUGGUAUAUUACCAUGAUCCUUUUUUCAUCAAUCUGCCUAUAUUUGCAGGUUAUCCUGACAACUUUAUUGAAAGUGUACGCUAGAGGCAGUCUUUUUGAAAAGUCAAGGGACCUCUUAGCUGAAUUAGAGGCUUUAGGAUAUGCUGAAGAUGAGGUACACCAACAGUUACACAGUUCUGAACCAGGGAUUUGUGAUUUUUUGUGAGUUUUGUGAUGUUUUUAAUUUAUGAGGACCUGAUCAUAAAAAUGUUCUGAAGUAUAACAAUUAUGAGGACCUGAUUGCAGAUAACAUGCCGAGGGCCUGAGUAUGAAAUCUUCCCUUUUUUUUUUUACUUUCAUCUGGUUUCAUGUCUCACAAGACUCGCAUAUGUUGCACUAAGUGUAAUGGUUAAAAAUUACUCCUGCUGUUUGCAUUUGUCUAACAUUGGUACAUCCGUACAUGUUACGUAAGAUGGUAAGCUUUCUAUAGAAAAUGCAGUGUAGAGUGUUCUUGUUUUUAUAUAUACAUCUAGACCUGUUUGGAAUGUGUAAUAAAGGUUUGUAAAACUCAGGAGAUCUAACUAAUUUCAUUAUGCAAUUUAUUUCCAUUAUUUUAUUGCAGAAGCUGUAUUUCACUAGCUUAUUUGAAACAUUCUUAAUAGCUCUUUUUCUUUGAACAGCUCAGUUUAGACAUGCCUUUUUAUCUUCUGUUCUCCUUUUUGACCUAGCAAACUAUUAUGCAGAUUCCAUAUUGUUUAUUACUGGAUAAUCUAGCCAAGGCAGGACAUAUACGGGAAGCAAAGAAACUAUUCACUGAGAUGAAGGAAAAAAGGGUGAAAUCUGGUGAGCUGCAUUCUGGACAUAUCAAAUCAGUUUGAAGAAUUUGAAUGGUUGCAAACAUAAUUUUAUAUAUUUGUGCUCCUCUUUCUUUCCUUUACUUAUCACGACUUUCCUGUGCUUUAUAACCUGCCUGCACCCAGAGCCACAAAGAACACUUAUAUUACUUCAUCAAGCGGUUGUUGAAGACCUAGUUGUUAAAUAAGGUAAAAACUGCUAAAGACCUUAGAGGAAUGCUUAGCUUGAAAUCUUCAUCGAGAGUAAAACAUUAGGUGACUAUAGGAGAAUAAAUUAAUGAAAAGUAUGAGAAAAGAUCGCCUGAGGAAUAAGUGCGCCUUGGUCAGCAUUAAGUGAGACUACCAAGUGAAUGCAGUGAUGAUCACGUUUACUGAAGUAAAAUUUUCGUUGUCAAUUUUCAAAUGACUGCAAUUUUUUUUAUCAUUUUUAAUUUUCUGUCAAAACUAUAAAUAGAAGUUAACCUUUUUCACUUGUGAUUUCUGCAGAUGGGUAUUCCUACAGUAUCAUGAUUUCAGCAUUGUGUCGAUGUGGUUUACAUCUAGAAGCGAAACAACUUGCAAAGGAAUUUGAAGCCAGCUAUGAAAAGUACGAUUUGGUCAUGCUAAAUACGUUACUUAGGGCUUACUGCAAUGGGGGAGAUAUGGAGAGUGUGAUGAAAAUGUUGAGAAAAAUGGAUGAGCUGACUAUUGCUCCUGAUUGGAACACCUUCCAUAUCCUUAUUAAGUACUUCUGUAAGGAGAAGCUGUACCACCUUGCCUAUAAAACAAUUGAAGACAUGCAUAGCAAAGGCCAUCAACUAAAUGAUGUGAGCUGGACUUUCAGUAUUGAUUCUCUUUCUUUACAUGUCACCUCGUGCUAAACAAUUGAAUUGUUCAUUGUAUUUGGGCUGCAGGAAUUGUGUUCUUCAUUAAUUUGGCAGUUAGGAGAAGCAGGUUUUCCAUCGGAAGCUUUUUCUGUUUAUAAUAUGUUAAGAUAUAGUAAGAGGACCUUGUGUAAGUCCCUGCAUGAGAAGAUGCUGGACAUAUUAGUUGCGGCAGGAUUUCUCAAAGAUGCUUAUGUUGUGAUGAAGGUAAAUUUAUAUUGCCUUCUGGCAUAAGCAUGUAUUGAGAUCCUUUGAUUUAUUCUGAGCUGCUAUUAAUGCUAUUAGGAUAAUUUUGAGGUGAUUUCGACACACUCCUUGGAGAAGUUUGUUAGUUCAUUCAUGAAAUCAGGCAACAUAAAUUUGAUGAACGAUGUUUUGAAAGCAUUUCACCGUUCCGGAAAACAUAUUAAUGAGGUAUGACUCUUUUUUAGAGAGAAUCAAAACUUUUCUUACUCGGAUGCUCCUGUGGAUCUCUUCUUAUUAUGAUAAUUAUAUUUUGGCUGUUUUGUAAGUUGGGUUUGACUAGUUUAAUAUUUUUUUUCCCCUAUACGUGUAUGCUUUCUCAAAAUCCGUAAUUGCUAUGUAUACUACUGUCAGUUCUUUCUUGUUAUGUUUUGUCCCCUCCAUCCUCUAUUGCAGGAUGUAUUCCGUUCAGCUGUUUCACGCUACAUAAGCAUGCCUGAUAAGAAGGAGCUGCUCUUGCAAUUGCUGCAAUGGAUGUCUGGACAAGGCUAUUGUGUGGACUCAUCAACACGAAAUUUGCUUCUGAAGAAUGCGUCUCUCUUCGGUCGGAAACAGCUAAUAGCAGAUAUUCUAUCCACGCAGCAAAUGAUGUCAAAGAAGCUCAAAAGCCAAAAUAUAAGGAGAUAAUGAAAAGUAAGUAUUGGGAUAGUUAUUUAUCUUGUAUGAUUUCCAUUCUAGACGAGAUGAUUGUUAUCUUCUGAGUGAGUAGAUAUGGGCACUUUUUACAAAAUAGAUGGUAUUUUUAAACCUAAGUUCUUGUUAUCUUUCAAGCGAGUAGAUAUGGGCACUUUCUACAAAAUGGGUGGAAUUUAUUUAACAUAAUUCUGUUUCCAUUGUUCGUGUGAUUAUUAAUUAUUAGUAAUCAUUUUUUUUCCUCCUAAAAUAGGAAACAGUAAUUUCCAUUUGUAUUAUAGUCUACAUAUGGUGCACUGUUAUAGUGCGUCUAACACUUGUGAACUUGUGCCACAGUUGGUAGUGCUGCUAUUUGUAUCUGUUAUUAUUGUCAUUGUUAUUAGUUCUUCGACUAGUUGAAAUUAUUGCUAAAUGAGAAAUUAAGAUCUGCCACUGUUGUUCAUAGUAAGUUCCACCGUUUGUUGUUAUUGUAAUAAUAUUAUUUUGCAUGGUUAAUAUGGUCUAGGUUGUCAGCCGCAGAUAUCCAAGAAAUCUCAAAUCCAUAAUCCUCUCUCUCUCUACAAACUUGUUUCCUAUGAAACAACAAUGGAGUGAUAUUUUGCUUUUCUACAUGAUUUACAUUUGUGCCAAUGAUUGUGAGUCAUGUAGUUACUAUUAUUCGUAGGUUAAACUGAAGCACUCAAGUGAGUUCUUGAUCUUUUGAAGUGGCCACUCGUACAAGGCGGAUUGCUCACGAUCCAUGCAAUUUUAAGAGUGGUGGGGCUUUUAGAACUAAAGAGGUGACUCCAUGUGCGUGCUUGAUGGUCAGUUUGGUUGAUCAUUGGAUUCAUUAUGUAUGGCACGGCUUGUGGAACAAGACUACAGUCAAGCAUAUGGCAAGUGGAAAUCUCAACUCAACUAGCAGUGCUGUAAAAGCUUAAGAUAGGCCAAAUAGGCCAUUAGAUUCAAUCAGCUUACACUUGUAUGCUUUGCAACGUAAGAUCAUAUGUAGCCACUAUGGUUUACGGAUAACAAGGACAUCGAAAAGGAGAAUCUGAAUCUCAAGCUAAAGACCUAGAAGGUUCUUGCAUGGGAUUAUUAAAAAACAAGCUGGAUCUAUUUUGUUACUAAGGAAUCUGAGAACCGUGGGAAAUAGUGCAUUGGCUUCUAUUGAAUCAUACUUUUGGUACCUCUAUAUAUAUAUUUUUAAAUCUUUCGGUUCUUGUUAGAAUGAUCUUUUUUGUAUAUUGAAGUCUGAAAAGAGUGUUUGGAUUGAGUAGGUUGGGUGUGGUGAAUGAUUCUGAAGCUCGAUCCAUGUUUUCCUUUUUUUUUCCCCUCUCUCUCUCUCUCCGCAACUUGCUCUGUAUAUGUAUAGAUUAUCAAUGAGUCUGUAUAGAAAAUUAUUAAUAUAAACUUGAGCCCAGUGGCAAAUUUUAUGUAUGUUUGCAGGUAAUUAACAUUUUGAAUUUGGUCAGGGAAGUAGGGUCUUAAAAUACUGAUGCAAUGUAUUGUGCUGGGGUUCCAAUCUCCACUUUCACAAUGAUGUCAUACAAAAAAAACGUAACACUACUAUUGUACAGAAAAAUACUUAUUUUUUUAUUUAAGACACAAGCAAAAGAGAUGAAAUUGUAAGAUGUAUGAGAAUAACAGGAAAUUUUAUAUUUGAAGAGGUCAAUAUGAAUUCUAUGUUGCUUUGUUCUGGUUCCCACAAACUAAAAAAAAAGAUCCAAAAAUUUGCCAAGAUAUACACUCUGUGCACAUUUAUCUCAAACGAAAAAAUUUCAGCAACCUUCACUGGUAGAACAGCCAUUGAUACUGUGCCUUCCAGGAAAAAGAUAAAGACUGCCAAAAAACAAGAAAGAUCGGCAAAAUCAAUUCAAGGCCAUCACAAAAUCUUGCAGAAAAGGCAUCAGGUUCAUUCUUGAAUCUCGCCCUCUUCAAAUAAGUCAUCAUAGGAAACCGGCAAGCGAAUUCUCUCCAAAACUGAUUUACGCUCCAUCUUUCCAUCAGAUGGAAGCCCUUCCUGAGCAUUACUGAUCCGCUUGGAAUCGUAUGGAAUUUCUGCAUCCUCAUCAGGCACAAUAGUACUCUGAGAGCUCGUAUCCUCGUUCUUGUUUGAUUUUUGUUUAUAUUUUGGUUGCCUAAGCUGCUUCUGAAAGGAAGAAAAUAAAUGAAAAAAGUUAGCAUUACACUGGAAAAAAAAUAUGCAUAGAAGUCUAUAAGGUAUGAAGAAGUUCAAAUAACCAAUUGCCGCUGUAGUUACUUCUUUAAAAAUGGUAUAAUAUUGAAUAAUAUACUGCCAAUUUUCCAUAAAGUACAAAACAGCUUCUUGCAGAUGAUACUACUUUCUAAUGCAUAGUUCUGUACCUCAAAUUCCCUCCCCUUCACCAUGAUUUCUUUGUAUGCCUUUGGCUCGCGUGCUUUCAGAAUAUUCCAGAGAAUUCCACCGCCGUUGCGUAGACGCUUUCCAUCAGCAGUCAUCUGUCCUCCGCAGCUCUGAAUAGAUUCAACCUGCAUUUAUGUUAACAACCCCAUAACUAACAAAUGCUCCUGGAAAGCAUUAUAUGAUUAUGCAAGAAAAUUAAUCUACUCCAUAGAAAGAAGGCCAUUAUCUGCUCUAAGAUUCUACUAGCUUAACCUCAACAAACCUCUCAUUUUUCGUUAACAUGCUAAAUGAUUUUUGUAUGAAGAGAAUGAAAAGGACGUAGAGUGUAGAAGAUCAUAACAAGUGAACGUCUACCCAAAAAAUUAAAUUGAAACUAAAAAAAAAGUAAAUAAAUGCAUUUUCUUCAUAAAACAAGUUCUCAAGAAACAAGAAAGAAAUUGAGCACGAUAAAUUUUUUGAUACAUUGGGCAAAGACUACUAAACGGAAGAAAGGUUUUGACCAAUUAUCUUUCUCGACCGAUCAUGAUUUCUUGUUGGAAAUUAAUCUCCUCAUAUUAAAUCUGCCUAGGAACCUAACCACAUCAUCUUUCCAUGAAUUAACCGGGCUUGAGCUUUCACGGGACAAACAUUCACGUAAUUUAUCGGCUCUUUCCAUACCAUGAUAAGUAUCCUGUGUACAUAGCAACCAAUGAUGCAAAAAUCUGCUGACAGGGCGAACAGAUGAGACCUUUCUCAUCUCAAAAGUUAGCUUUCUUGAAUUUCUUCACAUACAACUAAUACCAAAGAGUAUGUAUGAGUCGAUAAACAGAAAAACAAAACAACCUAACAGUGACAAAAGUAAAAAAAAUUCCAACCUUAUUCUUCCUUCAAAUUUAACCAUCGAUGUUAAGUUCUUGACACAUCUAGUAACAACAUAAUGUUACUGAGUCAAAAGCAAAGGUAACAAACCUACUAAAAGAGUCAAAUUCGUAAGCCAUUUGCAGCAAACCAGUGUCUGAAAUUGACUCUAAGCACCUUAAAUGCAUUAAGAAGCCAUGCAACCGUAUUUGAAACAAGAAUAACUACAACCACAUACGAUAGGUAAAUAUAAACAAUAACAAGCUUACCAACAAAAUAUCACUACAACAUGUCACAAGCUUAUGUGCUGCACAGAACCCAACACCAAAGUAAAGGUUUAGCUGGUAAGGUUAAUUUAAGUGGGCUUGUAAUCAUCCAUGUUAAGGUAAACAAUAUGGCCAUUAGAAGAGGCGAAUACUUGAGUAAAAAUCACUUUAAAUCUAGAUAUAACUUACUGAAAUAUAUGGUGAAACAACAGUGCAAUCAAAUAAAGAUAUGCGUUUAUAUAGAUACCUCUCUGACAAGAUCACUGACCACAGAAACUCCAAGACAACCUACAGCGUUCCAAACCAAGUACGAUUUCCUCUCCUUUAAACGUCUGCAAGUGUCGAUAACAAAUCUGGAAAAAUCAAAGGAUCAAUUGAAUAAGCACCAUUACAAAUUUACAAGAGAGGAUUCAUUAGGAAAGAAAGAUAUGUGAAGCACAGAAGCAGAUAGUUAUCUUAGUUACUCGAUAAGAAUACAAAUAAUAACAAACUGUUCUUACGUAGGUCAGAUAUAAGUAACUUGUAGAAUCUUAAAAAAAAAAUUGCGAGAACGUACAAAUAAUGACAAACUGUUCUUACUUCCUAUGAAUUUUGUUCACGAAGGGGCAAUGGAGAUAAUUUAGCAUGUAAAAUACACCUAAAAAGUUGGUGAAUUUGCAAUUGUAAAUAGAACGGAUAGUCGCAAACAGAAUGACAUCCUUUGUUCAAAACAACUUUAAAACAAAAAAAAAAGAAAAGGAGAAGAAUGGGAAACAAAACAAUAACACUAAUAAGACUAAUCAAUAGAAAAACCCCACGCCAUUGUUGAAAGAUUACAACUAGGAGAAAAGUGAUAUCGAUCUCUUAGCCCAUGAAAUAGCAGAAGCAUCAUCCUCCUACCUAUUGAUAUCCAUGAUACUACUCGAAGAAGACCCUCCCUUCCUCUUCUUAUUCCUGCUCCUCUUCUUCUUCUUCUUCUUCUUUCCCUCCCUCUUCUGGCCCCCGCUUUGAUCCCCGCCCUCCGCCACCCCAUCGCCGCCUCCAGCGCCGGGAGGGGCGGCGCUCCGCUCCGGCGAGACCGCGUCGCCGUCGCCGUCUAGGGUUUCGGCGUCGACCAUCUCGACGUCAUCUUGCAUGGCACCGUGGGGUCCUAGGGUUUCGUCUUCGUCGCCGAGCGCCGACUCUUCGUAUAUGGCGUCCAAAACGCUCUCCGCUCCCUCCUCCAUAGUAAGAGACGGAGUGGAAUUACAGUAGUAGCCGACUACACAGGCAAUGGCUACCGGGAGUUGCUGUUGUUAAUAAAAAGGGCUUUAGUAGCCAACAACUCGGCGGUUCGGUGGGCCGGUAAACAGCCCGACACCGGCACCGAACCCGACCCGAUCAACUAACUGGUCAUGCUGGGGUUGCUCGGAGUUAAACUUGGGCCUUGUUCAUUUGGUUGAGCCGGAGUUUCUUUCUUAUAUUGGGCCUAAACAAUUAGGCCUGAUCUUUAUCCCGUCCAAUUUAUUAGUGUGAUUUGAUCCAUCUUCACCAUUCCCAUAAUAGGAUGUAAACUUGAUCCGGCCUGAUUGUAGCCCAAAAUCUAUGUGGGAAAUGGGUUAAAGCCCAAACACUUGUCACUACGAUUAAAAUUAUGAUAUCAUUGGAAAGAGUAGUACCCUUUUAAUUGUACCAAAUUUACAAUAACGACCCUUUUUUUUUGUAGCAUUAUUACUAAACAAAGUUAUUAGCUGCAUUCUUAUUAAGUUCUUAGAACGAGAAACAGAGAUUAAAACAAAUUGAAGACACGUGAACCGCACGUGCACGUAAUGAAAGGUGUCCUGCCUCUGGGCGAAGGCGAUAGGAGACAAAUAGAAGGAAGCUGAGUGGGACAACGGCUCUAGAAAAAACCGGUCCGAAUCCGAAAGACCGUCUCCGGGCCAAAUACGCCGAGCCGACACGCGGCGACCACUCCCAUGUGUCGCACUCGCACCCAGCGGCUCUUCCGACACACCUCCUCGAAUUUUCCUUCGUUCCCCACUGACCUUGUUCUUCCUCUCUCUCUCUCUCUCUCAAAAAAAAAAAACAAAAAACAAAAAAACAAAAAAAAACGCACCCUUUUACUAUUCCCCAAGCCCCAAUACUCUCGCCCUCUCCUUCCGUUUACUUCGCCAUUGAAGCGCUCCGAGUCCGAGGAGAGAAGAAUAGGAACGGUCGCGUUUCGCGCUGCGUAACGACGCCCCAUUCUCUAUGAAGGCGAUGUGGUGAUCGUUGUUUUGGGUUUUGGGGAUUUUUGCGUUGUUUUGUUGUCGACUUGUGUCGAUUUUGGGGAUUGAGAUGAAUGGGGGAGGCGAGGAGACGGGGUUCGAGGUGGCGAUCGUUGUCCCGAAGAGGAGCGAGAGGGAGAGGGAUGAGAGCUCCGGUGAUUGUGUGGAGUUCCUUGUUCGCGAAUUGGAGAAAGCCGGGUUGAUCGUGGAAAGAUUUCGUGGUGUUCCAGCCGAGUUCAUUAAGGUUUGUUCUCUUUGAUCCUUUUGAUUUUUUUCCCCCUUUUUUAAAAUUUUUAAAUUAAAUAUUGUUUCCUGCAAUGUUUGCUCGAUACUUUUUCUCAUUAAUGUAUUUUACCUCUUAGGAAAGUAGAUCCUUUGACUUUAGUUAUUCCCCAAAUUUUCUUCUUUUUCAAUCUUUCGGAGGUCAACGAGUGCGGUGGUCCAAUUCUGAAUUUGUUCCGAGUGUUUAAUUACCAACGCAGGUUUCACUGACCUAAAAAACCAGGAAAUAUUUGCUCUGAUUUCAUUGGCUUCUUAAGUUAGUAGAUUUGCUCGUUCGAAGAGUUCUUAGGAAUCCAUGCUUGAACAGUUGCGAAAGGAGUACCCAGAUUACUUAUUUUCUGGGUUCUUUUGGGAAUUUCAACUUAAUAAUGUAAUGAAGCACAUAUUCUUGAACAGUAAAAUGAAUUUAUUAUUUUGGUUAAAGUUACUUUGGAAGGUUGCUUUGCUUUAGUAAUGGGUAUUUCUUAUGAAAUGGGUAUCCAUCUGUCCAAAGUUGCCUGCCAUAUAUUUUAGGAUUACUUUGUUAUCUUCAUUAUCUACAAAUCGAGAACUUUCUUGUUUCAAAGGGUGAUAGUAACAAAAUAACUUCUAUUGCUCCUAGUUCCUACUAUUUUGGUGGCUUUCUCCUGUUCCUAGGUUUUAUCAUAUGGUUUACAAGAUGGAAAGGAAGUCUAACCAUUUUGAAAAAUAUCAUAAUUUGUUGGGUGUUUUAUAUCUAAGUUUAGACUUUUCAGAGUCUGGCAUGCAUUGUAGGGUGGAAAAAAUGUUAGAUAUAAUUUUCGUGGUUUGUAGUGUGAGAUGGAGAGAUUGUAAACAAAUACAAAAGAAAAACAUAAUAAAUAAAGAAAUAAUUGAGCAGGUCACAUUAUUGCAAGGCGAUUGCUGCUUGUCUAAUUCUACUUUGCACCACUUGGGUUUCUAGUGGAGUUGUGCUAGAGGUUAAAGAAAAAAAAAAUGUUGGAUAGUAGGAUCAAGAUAAGAUGUGAUUACCUGAGGUUUGUAGAGAACUUUGACUAAACAAGAUAAAUGGUGAUAGCUAUUGUCAACAUAGUAAAGGAGUUUGGAAUUUGGCAAUUUGAACUUUAUUGUUGUGUGUUUCACCAUUGCUGUUGUAUUGCCGGUUAUUGAUUUUAUGAGUCAUGUGAGGGGUUGUGAGAUCUCAUUUGUCAGGAAAAUAAAUAUAUGAAAGUUCUAUGUUUGGAUUAGGGAUUUUUCUUCCUCCUUUUCUUUUAUUUCAUCUCAUUGAUUUGCUGUUUUACUUUUUAAGGUGGCAGCACCACUUGAAACUUUGGGAAGAGCUGCUGCUGAUUUGCAAAUGAAGAAAUUGACCUACAUUGGUAAUUGUAGAUAUUUUUGUUUUUUGCAAAUUGUGUGUCCAUUUUGUGGAUCAAUUUUGUGGAUCAAUUUAUUUAUGUUAUCUUCGUUUUCCUCAUUAGGGAUGGAAUUACAGUUUGACUGGGAUCAGGUUGCAGCAUUCGUCAGACAGCCAGAUGGAUCUUUGUUUAGCUGGUGUGAGCGGUUUAACUGUUUUCGCUAUUUGAUUUAUGGGAUUGUAAGUACUAUCUUCUUACAAGUAGGGAAGCACAUGUAUACUUAGCUAACAUUUUUUGGAAAUAAAUUAACGUACACGAUUGUUUGUUAUUAUUUCUCAAAUAAGAACAGUAUAUAUGGUGCUGUGCAGGUGAACAGGACAAACACUGAGUUAACAUUGAAAUUUGAUGAUAAAGAGUUCCUUUAUGAGAGAAAUGAGUCAUUACUAGGAAAGAUGGAAGCUGUAGGAAUUGUCAAACAAGUCUUCCCUUUGCAUGGUAUACUGAUCUAUUUCUCGCCAGUAAUUCGUAAUUCUCGGUGGCAGCCUAUUGAUGAUAUAUUUUGGAUGCAGAUGAAGUUAGGAGGAAACAACUUUUGGGGAAUUGGGCUCUUAACUGGUUGGACUUCACAUGGCAGCCAAUAGAUGAAAUUUACUCAUACUUCGGGACCAAGGUUGAACAAUGAUUUUGUUGAUCACGUACUUAUGUUCCCUCUUACAUUGCUGAUAUAUCAUUAUACCUGACAAUACAUUAUCCUCAGUUCUCUCCAAAUCUUUUCAUUCUGGAAUAUUGUAGAUUGCAACAUAUUUUGCUUUCCUUGGUAUGUACACACGCUGGCUGUUUUUCCCUGCUGUAUUUGGACUUGCUAUGCAGAUUAUUGAUUUUGGGUAUGUCAUUUGCCAUCCAAAAAUGCUUGAACCUUUUUUUUUUCAAAUUUAUAAAUUGUGCAAUUUCUAAAUCAUUGGUUGUUUUUGGUUCAGACCAUUGCAGUUAUUGGUUCUUCCUGCUUUCUUCGUUUUUGUUAUUUCAUGGGCUGUGUUUUUCUUCCAAUUUUGGAAGCGAAAGAAUUCAGCACUUCUAGCCAGGUAAGUUAUGCUCGAUUUAUUUGAUCAUUGAUCUAAGAUGUAGAGAACCAGUGACUUAAUGCUUUUUCUUUUCACUUCAUUCUGUGAUGCAUUUCAGCAGAUGGGGUAUCAAUUAUUCACUAUCUGAAUAUAAGGCUAUUGACACUCAAAUGAGCUCUUUAANAUGGCAUUGUUUCUAAAUCUCAGAAGAAGGUCAAGCCACUCAUCUCUUUGCAAUCUUGUCUUCUCUACCAGCCUAUUAGUGUCACAUUUCUUUUCACUUCAUUCUGUGAUGCAUUUCAGCAGAUGGGGUAUCAAUUAUUCACUAUCUGAAUAUAAGGCUAUUGACACUCAAAUGAGCUCUUUAACUCAAAAGACGGAUUGGGAAAAGAAAUGUGACACUAAUAGGCUGGUAGAGAAGACAAGAUUGCAAAGAGAUGAGUGGCUUGACCUUCUUCUGAGAUUUAGAAACAAUGCCAUCGUUAUCUUGGCUAUAAUUUGUCUCCAGCUGCCAUUUGAAUUGGCGUAUGCUCAUUUAUAUGAGAUUACAGAAACUGAGGUGUUGAGGUAUGAAUCCUUGAUUAAUUCCUUGUAAUUCUUCCACUUCAUUACAGCUCUUUUAUCUAAAUUUGGAGAAGAAUUCUUAUUUCUUUGUUGUUCGGUUGAAUGAGCAAUGCAUGCAUUUGUUUGGCGUCUUGACCUAUACUUUUGCUACAGGUAUUUGCUCACAGCAGUUUAUCUUUUUGCAAUUAAUUAUUACACGAGAAUUGGUGGCAAAGUGUCUGCCAUUCUCAUCAAAUGUGAAAACAACCAAGGCGAGGAAUCUAGUGCUGCAAGUUUGGUCUAUAAGGUGACUUUAGUUUAUCUUAGGGGAAAAAAAAGUGCUUUUCUGUUUUUCUAAGAGUUAAUAUGGUAUUCUUACAGGUAUUUGGCCUUUAUUUUGUGCAAUCAUAUAUUGGGUUGUUCUAUCAUGCCCUAUUGCACCGUAACAUUUCAACUCUUCGUCAAGUCCUGAUCCAGCGUCUAAUUGUUUCUCAGGUAUGUCAAGGAUUCUUUUUUUUUUUUUCUUUUCUUUUUUCCAUGAUAUUCUCAUGUGGUCUUUUACCAAACUUAUUAAUUGAUGGGUUGCUCAAUCCAUAGGUACUGGAAAAUCUGAUAGAGAAUUCCAUCCCCUAUCUCAAGUACAGCUAUAAAAAAUACAAAGCUGUUCAGUAAGUUUUCCUACAUCAUUACUACAGAUAUUGCUGCAAAUAAUUAUCAAAUGAUGCUUAUGCAACUGCAUUCUGUCAUGAAGCGGAUGACUGCCCAACUUAAAAUAGGGGUAUUUUUCAAAAGACUGCAUCUCGAGCUGUAUAUAUGAAAAUUUGGAAUUUAUGAGUGGUUAUAUAUAGAUGGAGGACACUGCAGGAGUAUAUAUAGAAGCCUAUAUCUUAGUUGAAUGCUGAUGAGUUGUGAUAUUGUACUUCUCUGUGACAUGGAGAGAAAGAAAAAGCUAAUCAAAUUUUUGUGUCUUAUAUAUAGCAAGAAAAAGCAUGAAAAAGGGUUGACACCGGAAAAGUCAGUUCGCUUGUUUACUAGGGUGGAGAAAGAGUUUCUGAAACCUUCUUAUACUGCAAGUAUCGGAGAUGAGCUUGAAGAUGGCUUAUUUGAUGGUAAUGAUUAUAUAUAGGUAUUUUUUUUCGAAAGCUUCAAUAAUAUCUGUAAACUGUUGAAUUAUCCAGUCAAAUACUUAAUGAACUUUAAGUAUGUUAUAUAUGGCAUUUGUUGCAGAUUUUCUCGAGUUGGCUCUUCAGUUUGGGAUGAUUAUGAUGUUCGCUUGCGCAUUUCCUCUCAUAUUUUGCUUCGCUACUCUGGUAAUAUCUUCAAUUAUUGCAUCAUAGUAUAUAUGUGAAUUUAUAGAUAAUGUAUCAUAUAGUCAUCUGAUUAUCUCACGUGUUAUAUGCAUUCCAUAUAAUUAUUUUUACAUAUUAAUGACCUGCACCUAUAAUCUUGGCAGAACAAUAUCACAGAGAUAAGAGCAGAUGCACUUAAGCUGCUUGUAAUGUUGCGGAGGCCUGUUCCUCGUGCCGCUGCGACAAUUGGAGCUUGGUUGAACAUAUUUCAGGUUAAUCUAUGUUUUUUAAUACAUGAUCUCACACAUGCAAAUGAUUUAACGUAUAAUAAACUUGAGAGAACCUGGAGAGGGAGUGAACUUAGUUUUUUAUUGUUUGGUAUUGCAACACAUUAAUUUACUUUGGCAUGAUGGGAGGGCGGUAAGGGAGGGAGAUUUUUAUAUGGUUUAUAAGUUGUUUGCCAUGCGCUUUUUUUUAUGCAGCAGUACAUCCAUGUGUUACAACUCAAUUGACUUGUGAAAGUAUUCCACCCAGUCCAUUUGUGUCAAUUGACUUAUGAAAGUAUUCCACCCAGUCCAUUUGGGGGAAAUGUUUCUUAUAGACAUUUAUAUUUAGCACUAUUAGCCAGAGUCAGAGUCUAAUUCAUAGUGUAAGCAAUGAUCAGCUUGGCCAGUAUCUACUCGAUAGCUCCGUUGUUUUUGUUUCAAAAUGUUAAUAACUGUUGUCAGGGUAAAGUAGCAGAUUAGCAUGUGUGUUCUGUGACUGUAUCUUUGUCAACUUAACAUGCAGUAGUGUUAAUAAUGAUUUAAAAUCUUGUGAUUCUCUCAAAUUGAGCCUAGUCUUGGCAAGCUGUUUUUCAUGGUCAAGCUGUUUUUCAUGAUAUUGUUUUUCAUGGUCAAGCUGUUUUUCAUGAUAUUGACCAAAUUUUUGGAGAAAGUAAUAUAUAGAUAUCCAUGUGCUAUUAUUUUAGUCAAUUUACUGUAUAUGUGGCGCAAAACUAGCUUGCAAAUCUGUGGGGGCCGAAAACCGCUAUUAAUAUUGAUAUAUCCAAAACUAUGUGUUUCAGUUCCUAGUAGUAAUGGCAAUCUGCACCAACUGCUUACUGCUCGUUUACUUGUAUGAUCAAGAGGGUAAAUGGAAAAUUGAGCCCGGUCUCGCGUCCAUCCUUAUAAUGGAGCAUGUUCUCCUACUCAUCAAAUUUGGGUUCUCCCACUUUGUUCCUGAGGUGAUUCCCUAGUAAAAUUUCAUGUUUCCUUCUAAAUCUAUUAUAAAAAUACAAUCAUAUUGCAAACUUACUCGUUAAUAUAUGUGCCCUCAUGAAACAGGAGCCUGCAUGGGUGAGAGCGCAUCGUGUGAGAAAUGUGGCACAGGCUCGAGACGCAUGCUCCAAGCAACUCUUGAGGAGCAUUUCCACUUUGGACAGGAAAUGGGACUGAGGAGACACUGAGUUUUUUUUUUUUUUUUUUUCCCCUGAAAAUAGCUCACUACAGAAUAUCAGUUGUGUAUUGCCUGUGGAUAAGUAGUCACGGGCACCACCAGUUUUGUAGGUAAGGUAUAAGAACUAGUGGAGUGCAUUCCCACUUCCCUUGUUUUUUCUGAAGUGUAUUUAGUUGUGUGAGGUGGCGUGUAGUGUAAAUGUGAAGAGGAGUUUCUCUCUGUAAUGUGGAGUACGUCACAUGAAUAGGUGAACUGAUAUUAUAUUUACGCACGAAAUAGAAUUUUGUAGGGUACAACAUCGAAUGUUUCACACCAUGAUAUGUAGUUGCUUACUUAGCAACAUACACGCCAUCAGCAGAGGUCAGGUUAUCAUGUUACUCAUGAUCUGCAUUGAACUCAGCGACUUCACGUAUUUCGUUUCAUUAGGGGGCAUUUUACCACCCCUGUUAAGAUAAUUUAUUAGCACCCUUGCACAACUGGUGUUGCAGCGGAAUGCAGUUUACUACUAAGCUGUCUACAUAAUAGCGCACGAGACACAGCAGCGCAGUGUGCUGCAACAUGGCACUGUGUUAUUUCUUCUUUUUUUUUUUAUUGCUUUUUGCUUCUUUUUUUUUUUUUAACUUUGUUUUGUUCUUUGGAUACCAAUAAAUAUCCGAAUACCUUAUAUCCUUUAAAUUUUUAUCAAAAUUUAUCCUACCAUAAAAUUUUUUGCGAAUUAGAAAAACAAAAUCGAAUUUAUUAAAUAAAUUUUGAGGCACAUCAAAUAUAAAAUUUUAUUUUUACGUUAAAAUAUUAAAAAUACUAAUAAAAUUAAAAAUUAAAUUAAAUUAAUUAAUAUUUAAAUUUAUUUAAUUUAUUUGUUAUAUAAUUUAGUCUGUAAAAAUUUUUAUUCAGUAUUAGAUAUAGUUGUACUUCACAUACAAAAAAAAAAUUACAAAUAUAUUAAUUAAUGGAUAUGGUAAGCUAUGCAUUGCAAAUAAUUAUAAUUAUUUGAUUAAAGUCUUUUAAAAUAAUAUUAUAAGAACUUAUCAGAACAAAAAAAAAUUAAAAUAAGUUCGUGUCAAUAGAAGGUUAUACGUAUCUAUCAGCACGCGAGCGUAUCAUGUGCCGGUGCCGUAUUGUGCUAGACAGAUAACGGCAUGCCUCUGUGCUACGGCACUUUAAAUCUCGCCGUAUGCGAUCAUGCAACCAUCAGUCACGGCCUCCACAUGAUUAAUGAAUCCACUCCUCCAAUCUUUAACAUCACCUCUCAAUCCAAAAACGCACACUCAGCACUUCAAGCUUUAGUUGAGUUCGUAUAAGCCAAAUAAGCCUACAACCGGACAGCUCCAGCGGAGCAUUAAUUACUUCCCAACCCAUCACAACACAAAUACAUAAAUCAUGCAGCAGCAUCGCAUAUUUAAAAUUAAUCAAUCACUUUAAUUUCCAACACAUCACAACACAAGUGCACAAAUCAUGCACCAUCAAAUAUUUAAAAUUUAUCAAUCUUACAUAUCGAAGGAUUCCGAUCGACUAAUCAAAAGUCCGCUGCUAUAUUAAACAACCAACUGGAUGUCGUUUGAAUAUUUCAAUUAAUUUUCUCUCGCUAUCCAUUUCCGUAAUCACUGCCGCUUAAGGAAUGAACGAAUAUCAGCAAAUAUUUACAAAAAGAUGUAAAAAAAGAGAGAAAAAAAAAAAAAAAGUAGAAAAGAACUAGUAUAUAUAUAUGUAGUGUGUGGAUAUAUGUAUGUACACAUGAAUUAAUAAUAAACGAACAAAUGAAUUUUUGUUGUCAUUGAGGAGCGGCUCAUACGUACGGAGAGAGGCGAGCGAUGAGAAGGAAAUAACGAAAGUGUUGCGUGGAUCGAGCUGAUUGUUUUCAGAUUAAUUCAAUCCGUGGACGAUCCUCUCUGAGAGUCGGGCCGCUCGCGCGGGCCGAAGCUAAGCUGGCGGGCGUAGGCGACGACGGCCUUGGCCCACCUCUUGAUCUCCUUCUUCAGCUUCUCGGGGUCCAAAUCCUUCAGCGGGCCGGCGUCCAUGGCGAAAUCCAGGCCUGAGAAGCACCGGUCGAAGCGCGCCUGCUUGCCACCGCCGCUAUCAGCGUCCGGACCUGCUGCCAGCAUCUUCUCGCCGACCGACAUCUUUUGACCGAUCUUCGAAAGCUUACAGUUUGUGUAAAUAAAUAAAUAAAUAAAUAAAUAAAUAUACGGUGUGGUUGGUGGGCUUUCUCUCUAUCCCUCCCUAGCUCCCUCUCUCUCUAGAUCUAGAUCUAGAUCUCUCUCUCUCUCUCUCUCUCUCUCUAUAUAUAUAUAUAUAUAUAUAUAGGAGGGAGAGAGAGAGAA
rnacentral:lncRNA from 1 species